CCUACGGGAGGCUGCAGUGAGGAAUAUUGGUCAAUGGACGAGAGUCUGAACCAGCCAAGUAGCGUGAAGGAUGACUGCCCUAUGGGUUGUAAACUUCUUUUAUAUGGGAAUAAAACGUUCCACGUGUGGGAUUUUGUAUGUACCAUAUGAAUAAGGAUCGGCUAACUCCGUGCCAGCAGCCGCGGUAAUACGGAGGAUCCGAGCGUUAUCCGGAUUUAUUGGGUUUAAAGGGAGCGUAGGUGGAUUGUUAAGUCAGUUGUGAAAGUUUGCGGCUCAACCGUAAAAUUGCAGUUGAAACUGGCAGUCUUGAGUACAGUAGAGGUGGGCGGAAUUCGUGGUGUAGCGGUGAAAUGCUUAGAUAUCAAGAAGAACUCCGAUUGCGAAGGCAGUUCACUGGACUGCAACUGACACUGAGGCUCGAAAGUGUGGGUAUCAAACAGGAUUAGAUACCCUAGUAGUC
rnacentral:rRNA from 1 species